rnacentral:rRNA from 1 species
AUGAACGCUGGCGGCGUGCCUCAUACCUGCAAGUCGAGCGAACAGACGAGGAGCUUGCUCCUCUGACGUUAGCGGCGGACGGGUGAGUAACACGUGGAUAACCUACCUAUAAGACUGGGAUAACUUCGGGAAACCGGAGCUAAUACCGGAUAAUAUAUUGAACCGCAUGGUUCAAUAGUGAAAGACGGUUUUGCUGUCACUUAUAGAUGGAUCCGCGCCGCAUUAGCUAGUUGGUAAGGUAACGGCUUACCAAGGCAACGAUGCGUAGCCGACCUGAGAGGGUGAUCGGCCACACUGGAACUGAGACACGGUCCAGACUCCUACGGGAGGCAGCAGUAGGGAAUCUUCCGCAAUGGGCGAAAGCCUGACGGAGCAACGUCGCGUGAGUGAUGAAGGUCUUCGGAUCGUAAAACUCUGUUAUUAGGGAAGAACAAAUGUGUAAGUAACUAUGCACGUCUUGACGGUACCUAAUCAGAAAGCCACGGCUAACUACGUG